GACGAACCUUGCUAACGUUAUUCGGAAUUACUGGGCUUAAAGGGUGUGUAGGCGGUUUUCUAAGUUUGGUGUGAAAUCUCCCGGCUCAACCGGGAGGGUGCGCCGAAAACUGGGAGACUAGAGUGCGGGAUGGGAGAGUAGAAUUCCUGGUGUAGCGGUGAAAUGCGUAGAUAUCAGGAGGAAUACCGGUGGUGUAGACGGCUCUCUGGACCGCCACUGACGCUGAGACACGAAAGCGUGGGUAGCAAACAGG
rnacentral:rRNA from 1 species